CCUGUUUAUCAAAAACAUGGCUCUCUGUAUAUUGAAGAUAGAGAGUCGGACCUGCCCGGUGAAUUUUUUAACGGCCGCGGUACUCUGACCGUGCAAAGGUAGCAUAAACAUUUGCCUUAUAAUUGAAGGCUAGAAUGAAUGGUUUGACAAGAAUACAACUGUCUCUUUACAAUUACAUAAAAUUUUAUCUGCAGUUGAAGAAGCCUGCAUUUGAAUAAAAGACAAGAAGACCCUAUCGAGCUUAAAAAAAACUGGUGGAAUAACAAACUUAAUCCUAACUUAUAAAUAAAUAAAUAGUCAACUACUGGAAAUUUUGGUUGGGGCGACCGGGGAACAAAAAAAACUUCCUUUAUAAAAAUUUAGAUGCCCAAAUAUUGAUCCAGCAUUAUAUGAUUAAAGAAAUUAGUUACCGUAGGGAUAACAGCAUUAUCUUUUUUAAGAGUUCUUAUCGAAAAAAAGGUUUGUGACCUCGAUGUUGGACCAGAAUAUCCUAAAGAUGCAGCCGUCUUUAAGGGUUGGUCUGUUCGACCAUUAAAAUUCUACGUGAUCUGAGUUCACACCGG
rnacentral:rRNA from 1 species